GUAAAGCACUUUCAGUAGGGAGGAAGGUAGUGUAGUUAACACCUGCAUUAUUUGACGUUACCUACAGAAGAAGCACCGGCUAACUCCGUGCCAGCAGCCGCGGUAAUACGGAGGGUGCGAGCGUUAAUCGGAAUUACUGGGCGUAAAGCGCAUGCAGGCGGCCUGUUAAGUCAGAUGUGAAAGGACCCGGGGCGUUAACCUCGGAAAUUGCAUUUAGUAAACUGGCAGGCUAGAGUCUUGUAGAGGGGGUAGGAAUUUCAGGUGUAGCGGUGAAAUGCGUAGAGAUCUGAAGGAAUACCAGUGGCGAAGGCGGCCCCCUGGACAAAGACUGACGCUCAGAUGCGAAAGCGGUGGGGAGCAAACAGGAUUAGAUACCCUGGUAG
rnacentral:rRNA from 1 species